rnacentral:rRNA from 1 species
AUUGAACGCUGGCGGCAUGCCUUACACAUGCAAGUCGAACGGUAACAGGCCGCAAGGUGCUGACGAGUGGCGAACGGGUGAGUAAUGCAUCGGAACGUGCCCAGUCGUGGGGGAUAACGCAGCGAAAGCUGCGCUAAUACCGCAUACGAUCUCUGGAUGAAAGCGGGGGACCGAAAGGCCUCGCGCGAUUGGAGCGGCCGAUGUCAGAUUAGGUAGUUGGUGGGGUAAAGGCUCACCAAGCUGACGAUCUGUAGCUGGUCUGAGAGGACGACCAGCCACACGGGGACUGAGACACGGCCCAGACUCCUACGGGAGGCAGCAGUGGGGAAUUUUGGACAAUGGGCGCAAGCCUGAUCCAGCAAUGCCGCGUGCAGGAAGAAGGCCUUCGGGUUGUAAACUGCUUUUGUACGGAACGAAACGGUCCUGGUUAAUACCCGGGGCUAAUGACGGUACCGUAAGAAUAAGCACCGGCUAACUACGUGCCAGCCGCCGCGGUAACAC